rnacentral:lncRNA from 1 species
GCAAAUUGAAGUUCAUAACAAGUAAAAGAAAGAGAAAUUUCCCUUCACUCUUUUUUUCUUCUUCCGGUAGCUGUUACAGCAGCAAGCCAGCAACGGCUAUACCCGAACUUUUUUUUACGAGAAACUAUAUACUCGAACUGAUUCAACUUCCAAGUGAAAGCAUGGAACAUGCAGAAAAAAAAAAUGUUACAGCGUAAUGUUUUUGCCGAUCUAGACAGUGAAUCUGUGGUCCAAAAUCAGUUGUUCUUGCUUGCCACAGAGAAGAUAGUACAUGGUAAUGAAACCAAGCUAAUCCCUAACCUUCUAGUAUAUCAAUCACGAACACUAAUGCAUCACCGAUUUAAUUAUUUCCUUCUUGUCUGCUCCCUUCAACAAGGCAAUUAAGAAACUAUAACAUAUAUAUUUCCUAAAAAAAGAAACUAGAACAUAUAAUAGAAAUGUUGGUCAUGAAAUUCUCCGGGAGGAGGCAAAAAUCAGAAUCAAUGAUUUGCAAGCAACAGCAUGCAACAACAAAAAAAAAACUCCUGAGAUUAUAAUGACCGAUAACUCUUCCCCACGAUCUCUUGCCAACACCUUCACAACCAUCGUCUCUCUUUUCUUUAUUCCCAACCACAGUCCUCGAUUCUACUACCACCCGAUUUUCUCGUUUCGUCUAGGUCGUCAUCAUCCAGUUCUAGUUAAGUCGUUAAUCACUCACAUAAGACCACCCCUGUACAUUACCCAACAAGUACCCGCCUAAUCAUGAUCCUAAUUAUUUACUCCAAUUAUACAUUAUCAUCAUUCAUCUUCGCUGCUAGGCUCACUCGUUGCAACCUUCCAAUCGCCCCAC